rnacentral:rRNA from 1 species
UACGUAGGGUGCAAGCGUUGUCCGGAAUUAUUGGGCGUAAAGAGCUCGUAGGCGGUUUGUCGCGUCGACUGUGAAAACCCGCGGCUCAACUGUGGGCUUGCAGUCGAUACGGGCAGGCUGGAGUUCGGUAGGGGAGACUGGAAUUCCUGGUGUAGCGGUGAAAUGCGCAGAUAUCAGGAGGAACACCAGAUGCGAAGGCGGGUCACUGGGCUGAUACUGACGCUGAUGCGCGAAAGCCAGGGGAGCGAACGGGG